rnacentral:rRNA from 1 species
AUUGAACGCUGGCGGCAUGCCUUACACAUGCAAGUCGAACGGCAGCACGGGAGCAAUCCUGGUGGCGAGUGGCGAACGGGUGAGUAAUACAUCGGAACGUGCCCAAUCGUGGGGGAUAACGCAGCGAAAGCUGUGCUAAUACCGCAUACGAUCUACGGAUGAAAGCAGGGGAUCGCAAGACCUUGCGCGAAUGGAGCGGCCGAUGGCAGAUUAGGUAGUUGGUGAGGUAAAGGCUCACCAAGCCGUCGAUCUGUAGCUGGUCUGAGAGGACGACCAGCCACACUGGGACUGAGACACGGCCCAGACUCCUACGGGAGGCAGCAGUGGGGAAUUUUGGACAAUGGGCGAAAGCCUGAUCCAGCCAUGCCGCGUGCAGGAUGAAGGCCUUCGGGUUGAAAACUGCUUUUGUCCAGAACGAAACACCUUUCC